GACGAACGCUGGCGGCGUGCUUAACACAUGCAAGUCGAACGGAAGGGCCCUGCUUUUGUGGGGUGCUCGAGUGGCGAACGGGUGAGUAACACGUGAGUAACCUGCCCUUGACUUUGGGAUAACUUCAGGAAACUGGGGCUAAUACCGGAUAGGAUCUCCUGCUGCAUGGUGGGGGUUGGAAAGUUUAGGCGGUUGGGGAUGGACUCGCGGCUUAUCAGCUUGUUGGUGGGGUAGUGGCUUACCAAGGCUUUGACGGGUCGCCGGCCUGAGAGGGUGACCGGCCACAUUGGGACUGAGGGACGGCCCAGACGCGCACGGGAGGCAGCAGUGGGGAAUAUUGCACAAUGGGCGGAAGCCUGAUGCAGCAACGCCGCGGGCGGGAUGACGGCCUUCGGGUUGUAAACCGCUUUCGCCUGUGACGAAGCGUGAGUGACGGUAAUGGGUAAAGAAGCACCGGCUAACUACGUG
rnacentral:rRNA from 1 species